rnacentral:tRNA from 4 species
UCCUUCUUAGCUCAGUUGGUAGAGCAAAGGACUGUUAAUCCUUGGGUCAUUGGUUCGAGUCCAAUAGAAGGAG